rnacentral:rRNA from 1 species
CUACGGGUGGCAGCAGUCGAGAAUCUUCGGCAAUGGACGCAAGUCUGACUGAGCGACGCCGCGUGCGGGAUGAAGGCCUUCGGGUUGUAAACCGCUGUCAGUGGGGAGGAAAUCCUAGGGGGUUAUCCCUCUAGGUUGACCUAGCUUCAGAGGAAGUGCGGGCUAAGUUCGUGCCAGCAGCCGCGGUAAGACGAACCGCACGAACGCUAUUCGGAAUCACUGGGCUUAAAGGGUGCGUAGGCGGCCGUGCAAGUUGGGUGUGAAAUCCCUCGGCUUAACCGAGGAACUGCGCUCAAAACUGCAUGGCUCGAGGGAGACAGAGGUGAGCGGAACUUAGGGUGGAGCGGUGAAAUGCGUUGAUAUCCUAAGGAACACCAGUUGCGAAAGCGGCUCACUGGGUCUCUUCUGACGCUGAGGCACGAAAGCCAGGGGAGCGAAGAGGAUUAGAUACCCGUGUAGUC